rnacentral:tRNA from 1 species
AGUUUAUGAACUUGUACAAGUAUAUAUUUUGAAAAUAUAAAAAAGAAAUUUAAAUUUUCUAUUGACUU